GGGGAUGCAGCUCAGUGGUGGAGUGCUUGCCUACCAUGUAGGAGACAUUGGGUUCAGCACCCAGCACUGCCA
rnacentral:tRNA from 1 species